GAUGCGCGCCAGCCAACCAGGCCAAGGCCAGGGGACCUCGAGACCGGCAGCCUCGACGAAGAACCGGAAGGAGGAAGAGGAACGGGAAGGAGGAAGAUGAGAUGCGCCUACUUCUCCCUGGAGAAGCUCGAGGAAGCAGAAAUGCUGGAGAUGAGACCCAGCACACCCUGCCUGCAUGGCGCUGUGCUGCACCUUCACUCUGGUCACGGGUCUGGCAGUCGGCUCACCAAUUCCUCCCGCUUCCCUGGGACUCGCCGGCUUUUAGCACUGCAAUUCACUCAGCAAACUGGGACUGUUGGUCACCCUACCUGGCAGCCAGUGAUAAGGGCUGGUGUCGUUGGCAUGACAGACCUGCCUUGGCUGAGCGUUCACCCGUCUUUGGAGUUCAGCCACCUUAGCAAGUCCUGGGUUUGUUCUUCAGACUUUGCUGCUCGCCCAUUGCCUGGAU
rnacentral:antisense_RNA from 1 species